rnacentral:rRNA from 1 species
UACGUAGGUGGCAAGCGUUGUCCGGAAUUACUGGGCGUAAAGCGCGCGCAGGCGGCCCGGUAAGUCAAAGGUGAAAUCCCUCGGCUCAACUGAGGAACUGCCUUUGAAACUGUCGGGCUUGAGGCCGGGAGGGGGUAGCGGAAUUCCUGGGGUAGCGGUGAAAUGCGCAGAUAUCAGGAAGAACACCCGUGGCUAAGGCGGCUCGCUAGUACGGGACUGACGCUGAGACGCGAAAGCGUGGGGAGCGAACAGG